AUACGGAGGGUGCGAGCGUUAAUCGGAAUUACUGGGCGUAAAGGGUGCGUAGGCGGCUUGAUAAGUCGGAUGUGAAAGCCCCGGGCUUAACCUGGGAAUUGCAUUCGAUACUGUCAGGCUAGAGUAUGUCAGAGGUUGGCGGAAUUCCUGGUGUAGCGGUGAAAUGCGUAGAUAUCAGGAGGAACACCAGUGGCGAAGGCGGCUAACUGGGGCAAUACUGACGCUGAGGCACGAAAGCGUGGGGAGCAAACAGGUUUAGAAACCCUAGUAGUCC
rnacentral:rRNA from 1 species